AACGAACGCUGGCGGCAUGCCUAACACAUGCAAGUCGAACGAAGGCUUCGGCCUUAGUGGCGCACGGGUGCGUAACGCGUGGGAAUCUGCCCUUUGGUUCGGAAUAACAGCUGGAAACGGCUGCUAAUACCGGAUGAUGACGAAAGUCCAAAGAUUUAUCGCCAGAGGAUGAGCCCGCGUUGGAUUAGGUAGUUGGUGGGGUAAAGGCCUACCAAGCCGACGAUCCAUAGCUGGUCUGAGAGGAUGAUCAGCCACACUGGGACUGAGACACGGCCCAGACUCCUACGGGAGGCAGCAGUGGGGAAUAUUGGACAAUGGGCGCAAGCCUGAUCCAGCAAUGCCGCGUGAGUGAUGAAGGCCCUAGGGUUGUAAAGCUAUUUUACCCGGGAAGAUAAUGACUGUACCGGGAGAAUAAGCCCCGGCUAACUCCGUG
rnacentral:rRNA from 1 species